rnacentral:lncRNA from 1 species
ACCCUUGUUUUUUUUAUUUGUUUUUUUUUCUUUUUUUUUCAAAUAGCAUUUUCUUAUUAAAUUCAUUAUAAUUUCAUUUUUAAUCCAAAAAUUAUGGGACCACCACCAAAAUUUCACAAAUAGUUUCCUCUUCCCAUUUUUUAAUUAAAAUUAUUUUUUCUAUUAAGUUGGAUAUUUUUAGUGAAUUUUGUGAUUUUUGACUUUUU